rnacentral:rRNA from 1 species
UACGUAGGGGGCUAGCGUUGUCCGGAUUUAUUGGGCGUAAAGAGCGUGUAGGCGGCCAGGUAGGUCCGGUGUGAAAACUCGAGGCUUAACCUCGAGAUGUCAUCGGAAACCAUCUGGCUAGAGUCCGGAAGAGGAAAGUGGAAUUCCUGGUGUAGCGGUGAAAUGCGCAGAUAUCAGGAAGAACACCCGUGGCUAAGGCGGCUCUCUAGUACGGUACUGACGCUGAGACGCGAAAGCGUGGGGAGCGAACAGG